rnacentral:lncRNA from 1 species
GAUAUGUAGUUGCAGAGAUAAAGCAUAUGACAAUCUGGCUCGGAAAGAACAGUUUGACAUCCAAGACAGUGAAGAGCUUAAUAGAAUGAAGGAAGAAAAUGUCAAUCUGCAAGAAAAGCUGAAUAAUACAGGUAUUAUUAAUUGAUAUUCCAGACGGUACAAAUUUGUAAAAUAUAAAAAAUCGCUUGUGAGCCAUAUAUGAUAUAUUGAAUUUUAAACUUCUUCACUUGCAAUAAUCACUUUCUUAGUUAAAUAAAACAAUAGUAUUUCAUUUCUUUUCUAGAGGAAUCAUACAUGUACAGCUAUAAACAUAGAGAUAUGUGUGCUGGUCUGUAAUUGCAAUACGUGGAUUGGCCAAGAAUUCUAAAAAUUCUUUUUAAUUGCUUUCAGUAAGGAGGUUGUGAUUUCCAAGUCGUACAGCUGUCUACUGUGGCUUCCUUGAGAUGAAACAUGACUUGCUGCAAAUGGAAUGUCAAGCUCUAAUGUACCCAAAGGCCGGAUGAGGACAAAACCAUGGCUGUUCACGCUUCAACUCAGUUUCCUGAGUAUACGCAUAGUUUGAUUGAUGUUGUCUUGGUGUUCCCGAACAUAAUAUCUGUGUGAUAACAGGAAGGGCUGAAGGUGGCUUUGGCGGCAAGAAAUAUGCCAGUGAGUACCCACAAGGAUUUUCGUUUAAAGCUACAGAUAAAAAAGGCCUUUUUGUUUAAAGUUGUUGCUUGGAAAUAGUUUUGCUCCUUUCAGUCUUAUGUUUUGUUUAAAAUUUUUGUAACCAAUCCUUCUUCGCGGGGGUGGGGGGAUUGAGGGGGUGACUGCAUUAUCAACCACUACAGUGAUUAGUAUAUUUCAUAAUAUUUAAGGUAUAUUCAUUGUUCAGUUAAGAGAACACAAGAGCUCAGCUUUUUAGAG